GACCGGGGGCGGGGGACAGAGCGAAGUCACUUGGGGAGGGGGCCUGGCAGGGGCGCGGCGGAGGUCGAGGGGGCGAGGGCACUCGGGGAGGGGGCGCGGCCGGGGGCGGGGCCAGGGGCGGGGUCGGGGAGGGCAGAGGGCGCUCGGGGAGGGGGCGCGGCCGGGAGCUGGGGGCGGGGGACCGGCAGGACCUGCGGAGUGGGCGCGGCCGGAGGCCAGGGUCGGACCGGAGCUGCGGAGGGGGUGCGGCCGGGGCGGGGGGCGGACUGGACCUGCGGAGGGGGUGCGACCGGGGCAGGGAGGCGAGGGCACUCGAGGAGGGGGCGCGGCUUGAGAGUGGAACCUGGGCCUGGCCGGUGGCGAGACCCGGGGUACAGAACCCAGACGGGACAGGAGGGCAGGGGCUGAUCGUCCGAGAGCGGACAACCCUCCAGCCUUUCCGCGGAGGAGCGCAGUAGCGGGCAGCCGUGGGCCCUCGGGUUCUGCGGAGAUGUGGCGCCUGAAUGCUGAGCCUCGUCAAGAGCCCUCAUCAAAAAAAUGUUAACAUCUGCAACACCCCCGGCUAACAAGAGUGUGCAAUGAACAUGAAAUGUCCAGCUUUAAGCUCAAACCCCCUCACCGUGAAGGGCAAGUCUGCAGUGUGGACACUGCCCUGUUCGGAUGGUCACUGCUGCACAGAACCAGCCAUGGUCCCAGAGAGCUGGGAAGAUGCUCAUGUUCCUGCUUCUCGCUGGAGACCUGAGGAUUCGCCAGUGAAUCAAUCAGCUAAGGGAACAGAGGACUCCAGUGAAAACUCAGUGACUGGUCAUGGCAGCUCUACCAGCCAGGUUCCAGAGGGGGAGGUCCUGGAGCACAUCCCCCGGCUCACUCGUGAAGGACAUGUGGCCUAGACCCCCUCUGGGCACCACGGUCCCAGAAGACGAGCGACCCAGUGAGGAAGGGAGCCGUGACAGCUGGAGGCGGGCUCUGCGAGGCAGGAGGCCACCGUCCUCCAUCUGAAACUGCCGCCCAGACACACAAAUCCGGCCUCCCAGCCCCAGAGGUUUGGUUUUUUCACUCAUAAUUUGGUCAUCUGUGCUAAAAUUGCAAAUAAUCACAAUGGCAUAAUAACCUUACGACUUGGUGCGUGGUGUGUUUAAGAGAAUGGAUACUUGGACCUGAAAAUGGAGUGUCUGGCUCAGGGGUCACCAACCUGCUGUAGCCAGCACCCAGAUCCAGCUCCCACCUCCUUUUGUCAAUAAAGCUUUAUUGGAACACA
rnacentral:lncRNA from 1 species